rnacentral:lncRNA from 1 species
CGCGCACCGGGGACGCACACCGGGUUCGAGGCCCGGCUGCGCUGCGGCCGCUCUGGGACCUGAGGUGGCCGCGCGGUGGCCCGACCUGCGUCGUCGUCGCCGCCGCCGCCGCUGCCGCCGCCCGAUCCCGCGCUCCAGCCGCCGCCGCCGCCGCCGCCGCCGCCGCCGCCGCCGAGGCUCAGUCCCGGCGGAGGGACCCGCAACAAGUUUCUUUAAGCUGAGGCCGCGAGACCCCGCCCCCUGUCCGGCUCCCCAUUGGCCGGCGCGCGCUCCGCUGCCCCCGGGGGCGGAGCUUGGAGCCCCCCGCCCCCUCCCCCCACCUUAAAGAAAGCGCCGCGAAUCCCCCGGCGCCCCCUCCUGCCCCGCCCGGCGCGGCACCACGUGGGGCCCGGCGCGCCCGGCAGCCCAGGACCGGAGCCCGGGCUGUGCACGCGCCCUCCCGUUCGCCUCGCCACGCCGUGGGCCCCCCUUCCAGGAGGAGCGGGAAGGAAACAGGGGUCAGAGAAGGGAGCGGUGGGGCGCUCCGGGGCGCCCUGCUCCCUCUGCGGGCGCGUCUCGGCUCCCGUGCGUCCCGUCUCCGGUCCCGUCGCGCAACCGGCUCCGCAAGGAGGCGCGUCCUCAAGGGCCCCCCCAACCAGCCCGCCUUGAGCCCCGACGUCUCGCCCGCAGCCCAGAGGCGCCGGGGUCAACUGCUGCCAGCCUGCGGCCCAGGGGAGGGUCGGCUGGACCGCGUAGCCUCAAAGCCCGGGCUCCGCGCCCGCAGGGCCAGCGCGACAUGCAGGAGGCUCCAGCGCGCCCGAGUCUGCGCGCCGCGCGCGUCCAGGGGUGCUUCUGCAGCCAAACGCUGUCCUCAGGCAGGAUCCUGGGGGUCUCAACACGCAGCCUUUCCUGGGUGGAGGGAGCACCAGGGCGUCCAGACCAGGCACCAGCAGUGUCUUCUGCAGGGGGAAACUGAGUCUGCUGAGGCAAUGGAGACUUGGGGUCAGGCUGUGCCUCUGGACGUUUCUAUAUCUAAGCCAGUAAAUUCCACUCCUUGUUCAUGCACAAGGGGUCUGUGUGAUGCCAGGCUUCUGGACCCCCGGACCCCAGCCCCAUUCUGGCUCCAAACUCCCCUGGACCACCAGACCCCACCCUCAUUCUGGGCCCUCACUCCCCUGGAUCCCAGGCCCCAGCCCCAUUCUGGGCCUUCAUUCCCCUGGACCCUUGGACCCCAGCCCCAUUAUGGGCCCUGGCUACCCUGGACCCCAUAACCAUAUUGGAUCCUCACUUCCCAGGACCCCCAGACUCCAUCCACACCCUAGAUCCUCCUCGCUCCAGACCCCACUCCCAUUCUGGGCCCGCACCGCAUGGACCCCAGCCCCCAGGAUUCCUGCCCUCCACCAUCGCCAUCACCUGGUCCCCGGCUCCGUGCACCAUGCUCCUCUGUCUUCUGAGCCCUGAGCCCCCCUGAGAAGUGACGAGGCCAGGAGAGGCUUUCUGGGCCCACGUGCAGGAGGCGAGCCAGGAUGCUGAAGUUGACCCUCGCUUUAGGACACCAGCUUUCUGAGCCCAGACAGGCUGCCGAGCGCUGUGCUCGUCCUUCCAAGCGGGACUUCAGGUCUAAUGACGCUUCUUGUUCGAGAUGUCUGAGUUGAACCUCUCUGAAGCGGAGCCCUGCAUCAAGGAUGACAGAGAAAGGCACACAGUGGCUUGAAAUAAGCGUGUCACAGAGAAAGUCUCCUUUCCUAGAAAGGGGUCUGGCCGGCUGCAGG